CCAAGUACUUGACAGGUUUAUGAUCAACCAGAAGCAGCGCUGAGGGGCAGAGAGCUGUUUAAAACAGUUAGAAACGUGUGACUUCAGAGAGACCCAAGUGCAGGAGACAGCGUGGGCCAGCAGAAGUCAAUGGCAGAGCAGAGAAGCAAGAAUGGCAAGGUCAUACUUUGUCUGUACUUUGGUGGGACGUUGCCAUCAGGAGGGAGAUGUCUGUGUGGAGGUCUGGCUAAAAGGGGAGCCAUAGUAAGACAACCAAGCAAAGCAACCCCAUAUUUGCACACUCUGGACAAGGAUGAGGAGGUUUUUGUCUCCUGGGAGCCUUCUUUGA